rnacentral:rRNA from 1 species
AGGGUUCGAUCAUGGCUCAGGAUGAACGCUGGCGGCGUGCCUAACACAUGCAAGUCGAGCGAAGCGAUUCGGAUGAAGUUUUCGGAUGGAAUCCGAAUUGACUGAGCGGCGGACGGGUGAGUAACGCGUGGGUAACCUGCCUCAUACAGGGGGAUAACAGUUAGAAAUGACUGCUAAUACCGCAUAAGCGCACAGUACCGCAUGGUACGGUGUGAAAAACUCCGGUGGUAUGAGAUGGACCCGCGUCUGAUUAGCUAGUUGGUGAGGUAACGGCUCACCAAGGCGACGAUCAGUAGCCGACCUGAGAGGGUGACCGGCCACAUUGGGACUGAGACACGGCCCAA